AGGUCAAUGCCAACAUGGGCCCCGCCCUGUCCGCUGUGACAGACGAGGGAGGCGCUGCAGUCAGAGCCCAGAAAGGAGAGAAAGGAGAACCUGCUGUCUUGGAGCCUGGUAUGCUGAUUGAAGGACCUCCAGGACCUGAGGGACCUGCUGGUCCAUCUGGUCCCCCUGGCUCCUCUGGACCUCCUGGAUCUAUCGGUGAUCCUGGCGAGAGGGUG